rfam:Triticum aestivum genome assembly, contig: Triticum_aestivum_CS42_TGACv1_scaffold_147558_2BS
CAACUACUCCCUCUGUUCCAAAUUUCUUGUCUUAGAUUUGUCUAGAUACGGAUGUAUCUAAUACUAAAAUGUGACUUGAUACAUCCGUAACUAGAGAAAUCUAAGACAAGAAUUUUGGGACGGAGGGGGUGCUUU